rnacentral:rRNA from 1 species
GUAGGGAAUAUUGGGCAAUGGUCGGAAGACUGACCCAGCCAUGCCGCGUACAGGAAGACGGCCCUCUGGGUUGUAAACUGCUUUUAUCUGGGAAGAAAAAGGCCAUGCGUGGCAAAUUGCCGGUACCAGAUGAAUAAGCACCGGUUAACUCCGUGCCAGCAGCCGCGGUAAUACGGAGGGUGCGAGCGUUGUCCGGAUUGAUUGGGUUUAAAGGGUGCGUAGGCGGCUGAUUAAGUCAGCGGUGAAAGACUUCGGCUUAACCGGAGCAGUGCCGUUGAUACUAGUUGGCUUGAGUGUCGGAGGGGUACAUGGAAUUGAUGGUGUAGCGGUGAAAUGCAUAGAUACCAUCAGGAACACCGAUAGCGAAGGCAUUGUACUGGCCGACAACUGACGCUGAUGCACGAAAGUGUGGGGAUCGAACAGGAUUAGAAACCCCGGUAGUCC